UACAUGCAGUCUGAGCGRACAGACGAGAGUGCUUGCACUCUCUGAUGUUAGCGGCGGACGGGUGAGUAACACGUGGGUAACCUACCUAUAAGACUGGGAUAACUUCGGGAAACCGGAGCUAAUACCGGAUAAUAUCUAGCUUCGCAUGAAGCGAUAGUGAAAGACGGUUCUGCUGUCACUUAUAGAUGGACCCGCGGUGUAUUAGCUGGUUGGUGAGGUAACGGCUCACCAAGGCAACGAUACAUAGCCGACCUGAGAGGGUGAUCGGCCACACUGGGACUGAGACACGGCCCAGACUCCUACGGGAGGCAGCAGUAGGGAAUCUUCCGCAAUGGACGAAAGUCUGACGGAGCAACGCCGCGUGAGUGAAGAAGGUUUUCGGAUCGUAAAACUCUGUUGUAAGGGAAGAACAAGUACGUUAGUAACUGAACGUACCUUGACGGUACCUUACCAGAAAGCCACGGCUAACUACGUGCCAGCAGCCGCGGUAAUACGUAGGUGGCAAGCGUUAUCCGGAAUUAUUGGGCGUAAAGCGCGCGUAGGCGGUCUCUUAAGUCUGAUGUGAAAGCCCCCGGCUCAACCGGGGAGGGUCAUUGGAAACUGGGAGACUUGAGUGCAGAAGAGGAGAGUGGAAUUCCAUGUGUAGCGGUGAAAUGCGCAGAGAUAUGGAGGAACACCAGUGGCGAAGGCGGCUCUCUGGUCUGUAACUGACGCUGAGGUGCGAAAGCGUGGGGAUCAAACAGGAUUAGAUACCCUGGUAGUCCACGCCGUAAACGAUGAGUGCUAAGUGUUGGGGGGUUUCCGCCCCUCAGUGCUGCAGCUAACGCAUUAAGCACUCCGCCUGGGGGAGUACGGUCGCAAGACUGAAACUCAAGAAAUUKAACGGGGAAAA
rnacentral:rRNA from 1 species